rnacentral:rRNA from 1 species
AUACGGAAGGGGCAAACGUUGUUCGGAUUCACUGGGCGUAAAGCGACCGCAGGCGGUCUAUUAAGUCAGAUGUGAAAGCCCCGCGCUCAACGUGGGAACUGCAUUUGAAACUGAUAGACUAGAGUUCGAGAGGGGAAAAUGGAAUUCCAAGUGUAGAGGUGAAAUUCGUAGAUAUUUGGAGGAACACCAGAGGCGAAGGCGAUUUUCUGGCUCGAUACUGACGCUCAGGGUCGAAAGCGUGGGGAGCAAACAGGAUUAGAAACCCCUGUAGUCC